AUUGAACGCUGGCGGCAUGCCUUACACAUGCAAGUCGAACGGCAGCACGGGAGCAAUCCUGGUGGCGAGUGGCGAACGGGUGAGUAAUAUAUCGGAACGUGCCCAGUCGUGGGGGAUAACGUAGCGAAAGCUACGCUAAUACCGCAUACGAUCUAUGGAUGAAAGCGGGGGAUCGCAAGACCUCGCGCGAUUGGAGCGGCCGAUAUCAGAUUAGGUAGUUGGUGAGGUAAAGGCUCACCAAGCCGACGAUCUGUAGCUGGUCUGAGAGGACGACCAGCCACACUGGGACUGAGACACGGCCCAGACUCCUACGGGAGGCAGCAGUGGGGAAUUUUGGACAAUGGGCGCAAGCCUGAUCCAGCAAUGUCGCGUGCGGGAUGAAGGCCUUCGGGUUGUAAACUGCUUUUGUACGGAACGAAACGGCGAGCUCUAAUACAGUUUGCUAAUGACGGUACCGUAAGAAUAAGCACCGGCUAACUACGUGCCAGCAGCCGCAGUAAUAC
rnacentral:rRNA from 1 species